GACGAACGCUGGCGGCGUGCUUAACACAUGCAAGUCGAACGAAGUGGCGAACGGGUGAGUAACGCGUAAUCAACCUGCCCUUCAGAGGGGGACAACAGGUGGAAACGACUGCUCAUACCGCAUACUGAAGGAGGGGAUUGGGUCUGAUUAGCUAGUUGGAGGGGUAACGGCCCACAAAGGCGAUGAUCAGUAGGCGGUCUUGUAGGAGUAACGGGCACAUUUGGGCUGAGACACGGCCCCAACUCCUACGGGAGGCAGCAGUGGGGAAUCUUCCGCAAUGGACGAAAGUCUGACUGAGCAACGCCGGGUGAGUGAUGACGGCCUUCGGGUUGUAAAGCUCUGUUAAUCGGGACGCGGUACCUGAAUAGAAAGCCACGGCUAACUACGUGCCAGCAGCCGCGGUAAUUC
rnacentral:rRNA from 1 species